rnacentral:lncRNA from 1 species
GAAGACUUCGUCCGGACUCCUACGGGAGCCGAACUCCGAGCUCCUACUGCAAGCGACCCACUCUGAGUUUCCAUUGCAAACGAUCUACUUCAAAUUUUUACCACGAGCGGUCCGUGCUGGAUUCCCACCGUAAGCCUUCACCCAAGCUUCCAUUAUGGAUGAAUUCCUUUCGGAUUUCUGUUGCAGACAGGCCUUGACCGAGACUUCUCGAUAAAUGAUCCCCAUCCAGGCUUCUACGG